rnacentral:rRNA from 1 species
AGUGAACGCUGGCGGUAGGCCUAACACAUGCAAGUCGAACGGCAGCACAGUAAGAGCUUGCUCUUACGGGUGGCGAGUGGCGGACGGGUGAGGAAUACAUCGGAAUCUACUUUUUCGUGGGGGAUAACGUAGGGAAACUUACGCUAAUACCGCAUACGACCUACGGGUGAAAGCAUGGGAUCUUCGGACCUUGCGCGAUUGAAUGAGCCGAUGUCGGAUUAGCUAGUUGGCGGGGUAAAGGCCCACCAAGGCGACGAUCCGUAGCUGGUCUGAGAGGAUGAUCAGCCACACUGGAACUGAGACACGGUCCAGACUCCUACGGGAGGCAGCAGUGGGGAAUAUUGGACAAUGGGCGCAAGCCUGAUGCAGCCAUACCGCGUGGGUGAAGAAGGCCUUCGGGUUGUAAAGCCCUUUUGUUGGGAAAGAAAAGCAGCAGGUUAAUCCACCGCUGUUCUGACGGUACCCAAAGAAUAAGCACCGGCUAACUUCGUG